GCCAGGAAUGUUGCACCCACAUUACAGGCAACGAGACACUGGGGAGCACGGGGCCUGCCGCAGGAGCUGGGCGUGUCUGCCUCCCUCCGGCGUCGGGGCUGCCUGUCCAGCGAGUCUCCAGUCCUUGUGCCGGAGUCACGGGAUAUUGCGGGAGAGCUUUUAAUUUCAAGGACCUUUUUGAAGACAGGGUGCCUGGACCCCUCAUGCCGGACCUGGCCGGGCAGAAGCCUGCAGGACUGUGUUUCCCAGGGUGCACAUGGGAAUGCCUGGGGCUAAACCACCUCCACCCUGAGAGCAGAGCAACGCUUUCUUCCUGCAGCCCCGGACCCGCCUGACCCUUCACAGCUCCGUGUCUGGCCAGCGGGUGGAGGAGGGAGGGUCCCACGGCUGGGCCUCAGAGGAGGCUUGGGGGCCCUGACCCAGGCGGGCAGGGGAUCCACAGAACAACCAACGGAGAGUAGAGAGAGACACGAGAGGUUGAAGGGGAACCUGCGUCCCUCAGAUGCCGAUACAAUACAGUGAGAGUCUGAGAUAUUAAUGAAGCCUUGAGAAUGAACAAGAACAAGAGCUGGACGAGGGAAUAGUCACUUGGUCCCUCGGUAACGGGACCCCACAUACUAUUCCCAUCCUCGACUCCCCUCCCCCGACCCCAUCUGUGGCCAGGGACCCUUACUGUCCCUGGUCCUGGGACACCCUUUCUGACACCCACCCACUCCUCCACCUCUGAAA